UACAUGGGGUGCAAACGUUGCUCGGAAUUAUUGGGCGUAAAGCGCACGUAGGCGGUUUGUUAAGUCGGAUGUGAAAUCCCUCGGCUCAACUGAGGAACUGCCUUUGAAACUGUCUGGCUUGAGGCCGGGAGAGGGUAGCGGAAUUCCCAGUGUAGCGGUGAAAUGCGUAGAUAUUGGGAGGAACACCAGUGGCGAAGGCGGCUACCUGGACCGGUUCUGACGCUGAGGCGCGAAAGCGUGGGUAGCAAACAGG
rnacentral:rRNA from 1 species